UAAGAACAUUCAAAUAAUGUGUUUUAUUGAUCCAUUAGAAAAACACAAACCUUCACUUCCUUAAUGUUUCAGAAAGAUGAUUUAGGUUCCUGUUUCCCAACUGUCAGCUCUCUUUCAACACCUGCCUUGAUAGGCUGCAGAUCACUUACUCUGUAAUAAUGUUGGCCAAACUGUUAACAAACUGUUUCAGUGUCUCAGAUUAAGCGUUUGUUACCAUGACACUGGACAAAAGAACAAAAACCACGGGAUAACUACAGCCUCCCCUGUAGUGAUGCUAAUGCACUUCAUUUGUUACAGUUCAUCUAUUUUGAUUGAAAGGUUGUAAGUAACUGUUAAUCACAUGGCUCUCUGCUUCCCCUGCACAGCAGGUUUGGUGGAUCUUUAUAAGGUCAGGUCAGUCAACACUCUUUUCCCAGAUUUUACAGUAAAACCACUAUUAGUUAUUCCCCAAAAAUCUCUGCAAAGGGAAAACAACUGAGGCAUGUACUGUAUUUACAGUCACUAUUGUGAUACUAGUCUUUUCAAAAACAUAGGAGAGCAGAGUGUGUCAAGGUCAUCGGUGAACCAGAAUUUAUGCGACAAGAAACCACUAAACGGAAAUUACUUCUUGUAAUAAGUUCUCUGACUGCAGACAUUUAUAGAUUUGUUUGGUUUUUGUCCUGAGAAGAACACAAACACGUCCUGACGUGUGUGUGGAACUGUGGAAGAAUGCACUGAGACGGCUGUGAAAAUGUCCACAUUUAAACUGGAAAGUUCUGAGUUAUGACCAGGCCUUUUUUGAAGAUGGUUGGUGUCGGGCAGGUAUAAGGCUCUGCAGACGCCUUAUUAACAAACAGACGGCACAUGUUCAGCUGGAAACUCUGUCUAUUUCUGCAUUAUCAUCAGCAACAAAUAUUAGGAUUUUAUUUGCACAGUUUGUUAGUUCUCCAGCUCUGUUCCAUCAGAAGUUUUUCUGUCAGUUGCGAUCUGACCCUGCACUCUGAACUGAGAAUCUCUCACCCACAAAACCACUGAUUAGUUUACUGCAAAAAGAAGAGGAAGAGGAAGAGGCCUUUUCACUGAUGGUGACAAAGAUCCAUUGCAGAGUCCAAACAUACAUGUGGAUGUGUGUUGAGAGCUGGCCAUGGAUGGACCAGACCAGGAAGUCCUUGGAUGUCCAGAGAACUCUUAUAGGUUGAAUAAAGAACAUAAAAAAAAA